ACAGGGGAAUGCUUAGUACGGCGAGUGAGCGGCAAAAGCUCAAAUUUGAAAUCUGGUACCUUCGGUGCCCGAGUUGUAAUUUGGAGAGGGCAACUUUGGGGCCGUUCCUUGUCUAUGUUCCUUGGAACAGGACGUCAUAGAGGGUGAGAAUCCCGUGUGGCGAGGAGUGCGGUUCUUUGUAAAGUGCCUUCGAAGAGUCGAGUUGUUUGGGAAUGCAGCUCUAAGUGGGUGGUAAAUUCCAUCUAAAGCUAAAUAUUGGCGAGAGACCGAUAGCGAACAAGUACAGUGAUGGAAAGAUGAAAAGAACUUUGAAAAGAGAGUGAAAAAGUACGUGAAAUUGUUGAAAGGGAAGGGCAUUUGAUCAGACAUGGUGUUUUGUGCCCUCUGCUCCUUGUGGGUAGGGGAAUCUCGCAUUUCACUGGGCCAGCAUCAGUUUUGGUGGCAGGAUAAAUCCAUAGGAAUGUAGCUUGCCUCGGUAAGUAUUAUAGCCUGUGGGAAUACUGCCAGCUGGGACUGAGGACUGCGACGUAAGUCAAGGAUGCUGGCAUAAUGGUUAUAUGACGCCCGUCAAGAACACGGGACCGA
rnacentral:rRNA from 1 species